rnacentral:rRNA from 1 species
GCGAACGCUGGCGGCAGGCUUCACACAUGCAAGUCGAGCGGGCACCUUUCGGGGUGUCAGCGGCGGACGGGUGAGUAACGCGUGGGAACGUGCCCUCUGGUUCGGAAUAACUCAGGGAAACUUGAGCUAAUACCGGAUACGCCCUUUUGGGGAAAGGCUUGCUGCCGGAGGAUCGGCCCGCGUCUGAUUAGCUAGUUGGUGAGGUAACGGCUCACCAAGGCGACGAUCAGUAGCUGGUCUGAGAGGAUGAUCAGCCACACUGGGACUGAGACACGGCCCAGACUCCUACGGGAGGCAGCAGUGGGGAAUAUUGGACAAUGGGCGCAAGCCUGAUCCAGCCAUGCCGCGUGAGUGAUGAAGGCCUUAGGGUUGUAAAGCUCUUUUAUCCGGGACGAUAAUGACGGUACCGGAGGAAUAAGCCCCGGCUAACUUCGUG